GACAGAGGCCUCGAGCGUUAGGCGGAAUCACUGGGCUUAAAGCGUGUGUAGGCGGGUCGUUAAGUACCUUGUGAAAUCCCACGGCUCAACCGUGGAACGGCUGGGUAUACUGGCGAUCUUGGGCCAUUCAGGGGCGACUGGAACAAGCGGUGGAGCGGUGAAAUGCGUAGAUAUCGCUUGGAACGCCGAAGGUGAAAACAGGUCGCUGGGGAUGUGCCGACGCUGAGACACGAAAGCCAGGGGAGCAAACGGG
rnacentral:rRNA from 1 species